GACGAACGCUGGCGGCGUGCCUAAUACAUGCAAGUAGAACGCACAGUUUAUACCGUAGCUUGCUACACCAUAAACUGUGAGUUGCGAACGGGUGAGUAACGCGUAGGUAACCUGCCUGGUAGCGGGGGAUAACUAUUGGAAACGAUAGCUAAUACCGCAUAAUAUUGAUUAUUGCAUGAUAAUUGAUUGAAAGAUGCUAUUGCAUCACUACCAGAUGGACCUGCGUUGUAUUAGCUAGUAGGUGAGGUAACGACUCACCUAGGCGACGAUACAUAGCCGACCUGAGAGGGUGAUCGGCCACACUGGGACUGAGACACGGCCCAGACUCCUACGGGAGGCAGCAGUAGGGAAUCUUCGGCAAUAGACGAAAGUCUGACCGAGCAACGCCGCGUGAGUGAAGAAGGUUUUCGGAUCGUAAAGCUCUGUUGUAAGAGAAGAACGGGUGUGAGAGUGGAAAGUUCACACUGUGACGGUAUCUUACCAGAAAGGGACGGCUAACUACGUG
rnacentral:rRNA from 1 species